rnacentral:misc_RNA from 1 species
GUGAAUCAUCGAAUCUUUGAACGCAAAUUGCACUCUCUUCGGAGAGUAUGCCUGUUUGAGGGUCAGCCUAAAAAAAAUGGAGGUAGUCCUUGUUUGGGGGUGAAAUUGGUCGGAAAUUGGGUCAUCUUAAACUUUUGGGUUUUUUAAGGGGUUUAAAUUUUUGUUUACGAUUCCAGGAUGGUUUCUAAGAUUUUAUUUCUUAAAUACGUUUAAGGUAUGGAUUUUUAUUAAAUGG